UGGGGAAUAUUACGCAAUGGGGGGAACUCUGACGCAGCCAUGCCGCGUGAAUGAAGAAGGCCUUCGGGUUGUAAAGUUCUUUCGGUAUUGAGGAAGGUUGAUGUGUUAAUAGCACAUCAAAUUGACGUUAAAUACAGAAGAAGCACCGGCUAACUCCGUGCCAGCAGCCGCGGUAAUACGGAGGGUGCGAGCGUUAAUCGGAAUAACUGGGCGUAAAGGGCACGCAGGCGGUUAUUUAAGUGAGGUGUGAAAGCCCCGGGCUUAACCUGGGAAUUGCAUUUCAGACUGGGUAACUAGAGUACUUUAGGGAGGGGUAGAAUUCCACGUGUAGCGGUGAAAUGCGUAGAGAUGUGGAGGAAUACCGAAGGCGAAGGCAGCCCCUUGGGAAUGUACUGACGCUCAUGUGCGAAAGCGUGGGGAACAAACAGGAUUAGAUACCCUGGUAGUCCACGCUGUAAACGCUGUCGAUUUGGGGGUUGGGGUUUAACUCUGGCGCCCGUAGCUAACGUGAUAAAUCGACCGCCUGGGGAGUACGGCCGCAAGGUUA
rnacentral:rRNA from 1 species